UGGGGAAUCGUUCCGCAAUGGACGAAGGUCUGACGGAGCAACGCCGCGUGAGUGAAGAAGGUUUUCGGAUCGUAAAACUCUGUCUUUUGGGGCGAACGUGAGUAUGGUGAACAAUCAUAGUCAGUGACGGUACCAAAGGAGGAAGCCACGGCUAACUACGUGCCAGCAGCCGCGGUAAUACGUAGGUGGCAAGCGUUGUCCGGAAUUAUUGGGCGUAAAGAGCGCGUAGGCGGGAUAGUCAGUCUGUUGUAAAGUGCGGGGCUCAACCCCGUGAUGGCAAUGGAAACAGCUAUUCUUGAGUGCAGGAGAGGAAAGUGGAAUUCCCAGUGUAGCGGUGAAAUGCGUAGAUAUUGGGAGGAACACCAGUGGCGAAGGCGACUUUCUGGACUGUGUCUGACGCUGAGGCGCGAAAGCCAGGGGAGCGAACGGGAUUAGAUACCCCGGUAGUCCUGGCCGUAAACGAUGGGUACUAGGUGUGGGAGGUAUCGACCCCCUUCCGUGCCGGAGUUAACGCAAUAAGUACCCCGCCUGGGGAGUACGGUCGCAAGACUGAAACUCAAAUGAAUUGAC
rnacentral:rRNA from 1 species